GAUGAAGAACGUAGCGAACUGCGAUAAGUAAUGUGAAUUGCAGAAUUCAGCGAAUCAUCGAGUCUUUGAACGCACAUUGCGCCCCCUGGCAUUCCGGGGGGCAUGCCUGUCCGAGCGUCAUUGCUGCCCUUCAAGCCCGGCUUGUGUGUUGGGUCGUCGUCCCCCCCGGGGGACGGGCCCGAAAGGCAGCGGCGGCACCGCGUCCGGUCCUCGAGCGUAUGGGGCUUUGUCACCCGCUCGAUUAGGGCCGGCCGGGCGCCAGCCGGCGUCUCCAACCUUCUAUUUUACCAGGUUGACCUCGGAUCAGGUAGGGAUACCCGCUGAACUUAAGCAUAUCAAUAAGCGGAGGA
rnacentral:misc_RNA from 1 species